GUGAGCUGCUCCAGCGCUGCGGGGACGCCGCGGUCAGCCGGCCGCCCUGGAUCAUUCUGCCCAGCCGCCCAACGAGCCCCAAUUCCCUCUUUCGGGCCGGGGCAGCUCUGCGGGUAACCAGGGAGGGACCCGCCGCCUGUGGCCCCAACUAGACCCAGGUCGCCUCAGGCCAUCGCCAGGCCUGGUCCUCAGUCAUCCCGUGGAGGGCUGGGGUUCCUGGCGACUGAACCCUUGUCCCUGUCUACACUGGAACUCGGGAUGCUUCUGCCUCCGCCUCAGAGGCAUGUGCCACCACACCUGGCCUCUCUCCUGACCGGGUUUCUGGGUCUCAGUUUUCUCUGGACUAAACCCGGGUCUCAGCUCACCAACCAGAGACAGCAAGGGCUGCGUCAGAUGUGCCGCAUGGCCUGUAGCAUCCGGAUGUGCUGUACCCUUGGGAGCCAAGGCUCAGGCUUGAGCUACCCCAGCCAUGGGCUCGAGAGCCAGUGUCUGACCCAGGCCAGUGCCCAGGGUUCCAGGUGCGCUUCGGACCCUCAGCCCCCAGCCCACCCCCAUGAACAGGAAUCUUCGUCUCCAUAUCCAGAGAGAGGCAGUGCCUGGCCAAGGAUGACACGGGAGUCAGUGGUUCAAACUCAAGCCCCAGCCUCCUGUCUGCCAACAGCAACGCUCUCCCCCUGUCUGUCACCUGUGAACACCAUGCCCUCCGAAGUCUUCCACGUGCAGAUUAGAGGGCUGCAGGGGGAGCCAGAGCUGAGGUGCGGGUGCCUUCGGUGCCUUCCUGAGUUGAAUUGGGACCCCACUAACCCCUCACACACAAGCUCGGGGUCCGCCCUCUCAGUACCUGGCAUCAGAGCCCGGAACAUCUUCCUCCACACCUGGAAUUUGAAGUCGUCUGAAAUGACAGGCAACUGGAUAUCCAGACGAGCAGGGGGUGGUGACUCUGCCAGGAUCUUCUGCAGCCUGCAGGCAAUAUUUCUGAGGAGAAAAAAAAAAAGAAUGGAGGUGAAGCAAGCCGGAAGGACUCUGGGGACUACUGAGAAUGUGAUGGGCCACCCAGAGCGUGGGGUCAGAAGGAUCAGAAAAGCCAAAAGGACCCCAGGACUCAAAGUCACCCCUAGCCCUGUGCCUCUAUGUGAAUUGAACACAGUACCUCCUCCCCAAGGAACUGGUGUUUCUGCUAGCAGGUCAUCCUGAUGUGCAUAUAAACCUACUCCUUCUGUAGUAUGAGUGACGUUCACUGGACCCAGUACCUCGCGCAGUGCCCAGUGCAAGCACGGCCCUGAGGCCCACCCCUCAACCUGUGACCUGGCUCACCCUUCCCUCUCUGGGCCUCAGUGCCUCCAUCUGACCACGGGAGAAGGUCUCUGGGGCCUCAGCCGGGCCAGGGCCAUGCUGCUCACCAUGAGGAACUCGGUCUGUGCUUUGUCGGCCACCUCGUCCAGCACCUUCUCCAUCUGCCGCAGCUGCUCCAGGUAGGAGUUCAGGCCUGCCAGCUCCCUCCGUAAGGCCACCCCAGCCUCGCCCCGAACUCGUUCUGCCUCCCGGUCCAAAGAGCCCUCCAGCGCGGCCAGGAACAGCCGCAUCUUGCCCAGCUGCUCCCCAACAGCCCCCCGGAACUGCCGCACCGUUUCCUGUAGGGGGCAGGCGAGCGCAUUGGUGAGCUGUCCUCAGCCUGGACCCCCUGCCCAUGUUCCCCAGCAGCCCUCACCUCCACCUCCACCAGCUGGUGCUCCAGCAGGGCCACACUCUUCUCCUUGCGCAUGCAGGCCUCCUGCAGCUGCAUCUUCUGCUGUGGGAGCUGAGUCUGGGAGCCAGGCAUAAGAAGAGACAGAGACGCUGACCACCCCAGCCCAGCCCCUAAACCUGCCCUCCGAGCUCAGCCUCAGUGCCAGAGCCUCCUGCAGCCUCAUCCCCAGACUCAGACCCUCCUCCAUGCCUCGGCCUGGCCAGCCUUGGUCCUGAGGUUCAGCUCCUCCCUGAUCCCACUCCCGGGCAGCCAGCCCCAGGGACGACCAGCUCCAGUGGGAUUUGGUCUCCCCACUGGACAGGCAAGCACAGUGCUUGUUGUUCACAGCAGGCUUCCCCACCGCAAGGCCUCACCCCUUACACGUGCCCAUCAGCCUCCCUGGGCCUGAACUCAGCCCCUGAACACUCGCGGCUUUCUAAAGGCAUCCUGAGUGGUCCAACAGCACAGAGUCCUACCCAGUGCCUGUUAGCUUGUGAUUCCCAGAAUGCGAGCAGAGGAGCCCUAAUAGUACUGCUGUGAAAGCUGCGUCUGUUGGAGGACAGGUACCUUCCUGACUCCUCGGCUUCCCGCCUCAGUUUACCCCUCUCCGGAGUGGGAGUAGCCCUGCCACCUCACUGGGGGAGCCUGGGAACGCCCACGGCCGUGCUCUGAGGGGUCGGGCCUCGCAGGUGCCGCAGGGCUGGGCCAUGCCGACCC
ensembl:lincRNA